GUUGAACGCUGGCGGCGUGCCUAAUACAUGCAAGUCGAACGAAGCGGGGAAGGGUGAGUAACACGUGGAUAACCUCCUAUAAGACUGGGAUAAAUUCGGGAAACCGGAGCUAAAACGGAUACUUUUAGAUGGAUCCGCGGUGCAUUAGCUAGUUGGUAAGGUAACGGCUUACCGAGGCAACGAUGCAGAGCCGACCUGAGCGGGUGAUCUGCAACACUGGAACGGAGACACGGGCCAGACUCCUACGGGAGGCAGAAGUAGGGAAUAUUCAGCAAUGGGCGAAAGCCUGACGGAGCAACGCCGCGUGAGUGAUGAAGGCCUUCGGGUCGUAAAACUCUGUUAUUGGGGAAGCGUUACCUACUCAGAAAGCAACGGCUAACUACGUGCCAGCAGCCGCGGUAAUAC
rnacentral:rRNA from 1 species